rnacentral:misc_RNA from 1 species
AAGUCGUAACAAGGUUUCCGUAGGUGAACCUGCGGAAGGAUCAUUACCGAGUUUUUUGGUUCGAAAGGGCCGAACUCUUCACACCGUGCGUACGCAUGUCAUUACGUUUACACAGAAAGGCAAAUCUGUCUAAUCAACCGAAUCAAACAAAGCAAAAACUUUCAACAACGGAUCUCUUGGUUCUG